AGAGGACUGCUCUAAUUUUAAACCGUGCUCGAGAAAUAACAAACGAGGAGAAGGUAAGUUAUUUUGUAUUGUAAAAAUUACCAGACAUUAUUUUUGAGGUGUAAAUUAAAAACUUAAAUUUUUACAGUAGUUUUGUUUAUCUUUAUUUACUUUAUUUAUAGGAAGAAGGUAUUCGGCAAGAAACAAGUUCGCUUCAGACUUAUACCAACUUAGAACCGUUACAGGAAGUUGAUUUUAACUCAGCAACAGAUAUUAGUGAGAAAGAAAGUACUCAUACAGCAGCUGUUUCCCCAAAGACUUACAGCGAUUUACAAACGGUUCGGGAAGUGGAAUUUAAUCUAAAAUUACCAGACAUAAUUUAUGAGGAAGGAAGUAAUUCGGAUGGAUAUUCAAACAAGGAAAAUGAAAUAGGUGACGUAAGAGUAAUGGAUGAUAAUCAAA